rnacentral:tRNA from 1 species
UCCCUCGUGGCCGAUGACAAGCGGCCGGUUUCCUAAACCGUAGGCCGCGUGUUCAAAUCUCGCCGGGGGCA